rnacentral:misc_RNA from 1 species
ACAAACUUGGUCAUUUAGAGGAAGUAAAAGUCGUAACAAGGUUUCCGUAGGUGAACCUGCGGAAGGAUCAUUACCGUGCCGCUGGGGUAAGCGUUCGCGCGCUCCUGCAACCGGCCACCCGUGUUUACCUGACCUUUUGUUGCCUCGGCGGGUCCGCUCCCUUUGAUGGGAGCCGCCGGGGAGGUUUACCCCUCCCUGGCCCGCGCCCGCCAGAGGACCUUUUUUAAAAAUUCUUUGAAUCCAAGUGAAGUCUGAGCUUUCAGUGAAAAAUUCAGUUAAAACUUUCAACAACGGAUCUCUUGGUUCCGGCAUCGAUGAAGAACGCAGC